AAUUGGUUUCAUUUUCAUGUUUGAAGGUUCGUAGCUACUUUAGUAUUAAGAGUACAAGGUCUUAAUAAGAGUCUGUCCAACCAAUGGUUAUUUUGAUGUAUUCAUCGGUAUGCUUAACCUAUACAAAUAAUUCAAAGAGGACUGAAAAUGGUUUGGAUGUACCCUGACUAUAUAUGCUUCUGAAUCCAGAAUUGGUAGGAUAUGAAUUGCAUAUCUAAAUUCAUUCCCCUUCCAGAUAUCGAUGCAGGUUCAGAAUUUUUUUAAACUGAUUUUUACCUUUUUAAAUAUUGAAUGGUCCAGAUACAGAUAUGUAUAUAUCAUCCACAAACAGAUAAGGAUGCGGAUACAGAUAAGGACACUGUCAUCAGCAUAUUACAAGCAUGGUUCUUUUUUUUUUAAUCUUAAUUUCAUAUAAAAGUUUUACUGUGGUCAUUUCAUUAGUUUCAUAUUGUUUGAUUUAGAGACUAAUUUUUUCAACAGAUCCUUGGUUUGUCCCAUUAUUUUUAAUUUUAC
rnacentral:lncRNA from 1 species